rnacentral:rRNA from 2 species
CGAGUUCUCGUUGAUGAUCGGUGCUUGCACCGAGAUUCAACAUGGAACGAGUGGCGGACGGGUGAGUAACACGUGGGUAACCUGCCCUUAAGUGGGGGAUAACAUUUGGAAACAGAUGCUAAUACCGCAUAGAUCCAAGAACCGCAUGGUUCUUGGCUGAAAGAUGGCGUAAGCUAUCGCUUUUGGAUGGACCCGCGGCGUAUUAGCUAGUUGGUGAGGUAAUGGCUCACCAAGGCGAUGAUACGUAGCCGAACUGAGAGGUUGAUCGGCCACAUUGGGACUGAGACACGGCCCAAACUCCUACGGGAGGCAGCAGUAGGGAAUCUUCCACAAUGGACGCAAGUCUGAUGGAGCAACGCCGCGUGAGUGAAGAAGGCUUUCGGGUCGUAAAACUCUGUUGUUGGAGAAGAAUGGUCGGCAGAGUAACUGUUGUCGGCGUGACGGUAUCCAACCAGAAAGCCACGGCUAACUACGUGCCAGCAGCCGCGGUAAUACGUAGGUGGCAAGCGUUAUCCGGAUUUAUUGGGCGUAAAGCGAGCGCAGGCGGUUUUUUAAGUCUGAUGUGAAAGCCCUCGGCUUAACCGAGGAAGCGCAUCGGAAACUGGGAAACUUGAGUGCAGAAGAGGACAGUGGAACUCCAUGUGUAGCGGUGAAAUGCGUAGAUAUAUGGAAGAACACCAGUGGCGAAGGCGGCUGUCUGGUCUGUAACUGACGCUGAGGCUCGAAAGCAUGGGUAGCGAACAGGAUUAGAUACCCUGGUAGUCCAUGCCGUAAACGAUGAAUGCUAGGUGUUGGAGGGUUUCCGCUCUUCAGUGCCGCAGCUAACGCAUUAAGCAUUCCGCC